ACACCUUCAUCAGGUUCCACUCAGCACCAUCACAUGUUCAGUCUAAAGUACUGCGUCUAGUUACACCUUCAUCAGGUUCCACUCAGCACCAUCACAUGUUCAGUCUAAAGUACUGCGUCUAGUUACACCUUCAUCAGGUUCCACUCAGCACCAUCACAUGUUCAGUCUAAAGUACUGCGUCUAGUUACACCUUCAUCAGGUUCCACUCAGCACCAUCACAUGUUCAGUCUAAAGUACUGCGUCUAGUUACACCUUCAUCAGGUUCCACUCAGCACCAUCACAUGUUCAGUGUAAAGUACUGCGUCUAGUUACACCUUCAUCAGGUUCCACUCAGCACCAUCACAUGUUCAGUCUAAAGUACUGCGUCUAGUUACACCUUCAUCAGGUUCCACUCAGCACCAUCACAUGUUCAGUGUAAAGUACUGCGUCUAGUUACACCUUCAUCAGGUUCCACUCAGCACCAUCACAUGUUCAGUCUAAAGUACUGCGUCUAGUUACACCUUCAUCAGGUUCCACUCAGCACCAUCACAUGUUCAGUCUAAAGUACUGCGUCUAGUUACACCUUCAUCAGGUUCCACUCAGCACCAUCACAUGUUCAGUCUAAAGUACUGCGUCUAGUUACACCUUCAUCAGGUUCCACUCAGCACCAUCACAUGUUCAGUCUAAAGUACUGCGUCUAGUUACACCUUCAUCAGGUUCCACUCAGCACCAUCACAUGUUCAGUCUAAAGUACUGCGUCUAGUUACACCUUCAUCAGGUUCCACUCAGCACCAUCACAUGUUCAGUCUAAAGUACUGCGACUCUGUUCCAAUCUCCAUACAAACAUACCAAUUCAAAUGAAGCAAUGUAUUGGGGAAAUGGUCCGAUUUUGCUGUUUUUUCCCCCAGUGUCUAAACUUCCUGCCAAAACUUCCCAUAAUAAGAACAUUGAGCAUUGGU